rnacentral:rRNA from 1 species
GACGAACGCUGGCGGCGUGCUUAACACAUGCAAGUCGAACGGAAAGGCCCUGCUUGCAGGGUGCUCGAGUGGCGAACGGGUGAGUAACACGUGGGUGAUCUGCCCCUUACUUUGGGAUAAGCCUGGGAAACUGGGUCUAACACUGGAUAGGACCAUGCUGUAGGUGGUGUGGUGGAAAGUUUAGUUUCGGUAUGGGAUGAGCUCGGGGCCUAUCAGCUUGUUGGUGGGGUAAUGGCCUACCAAGGCGUCGACGGGUAGCCGGCCUGAGAGGGUGGACGGCCACAUUGGGACUGAGAUGCGGGCCAGAAUCCUACGGGCGGCAGCAGUGGGGAAUAUUGCACAAUGGGCGCAAGCCUGAUGCAGCGACGCCGCGUGGGGGAUGACGGCCUUCGGGUUGUAAACUCCUUUCAGCCAUGACGAAGCCCUUGUGGUGACGGUAGUGGUAGAAGAAGCACCGGCUAACUACGUG